rnacentral:rRNA from 1 species
CAUGCAAGUCGAACGGCAGCACGGGGGCAACCCUGGUGGCGAGUGGCGAACGGGUGAGUAAUAUAUCGGAACAUAUCCGGAAGUGGGGGAUAACGUAGCGAAAGUUACGCUAAUACCGCAUAUGCCCUGAGGGGGAAAGGAGGGGAUUCGCAAGGACCUUUCGCUUUCGGAGUGGCCGAUAUCGGAUUAGCUAGUUGGUGAGGUAAAGGCUCACCAAGGCAACGAUCCGUAGCGGGUCUGAGAGGACGACCCGCCACACUGGAACUGAGACACGGUCCAGACUCCUACGGGAGGCAGCAGUGGGGAAUUUUGGACAAUGGGGGCAACCCUGACCCAGCCAUGCCGCGUGAGUGAAGAAGGCCUUCGGGUUGUAAAGCUCUUUCAGCCGGAAAGAAAACGCACAGGAUAAUACCUUGUGUGGAUGACGGUACCGGAAGAAGAAGCGCCGGCUAACUACGUGCCAGCAGCCGCGGUAAUACGUAGGGCGCGAGCGUUAAUCGGAAUUACUGGGCGUAAAGCGUGCGCAGGCGGUUUCGUAAGACCAAUGUGAAAUCCCCGGGCUUAACCUGGGAACUGCAUAGGUGACUGCGAGGCUAGAGUGCGGCAGAGGGGGGUAGAAUUCCACGUGUAGCAGUGAAAUGCGUAGAUAUGUGGAGGAAUACCGAUGGCGAAGGCAGCCCCCUGGGUCGACACUGACGCUCAGGCACGAAAGCGUGGGGAGCAAACAGGAUUAGAUACCCUGGUAGUCCACGCCCUAAACGAUGUCAACUAGGUGUUGGGGGAGGAGACUUCCUUAGUACCGCAGCUAACGCGUGAAGUUGACCGCCUGGGGAGUACGGUCGCAAGAUUAAAACUCAAAGGAAUUGACGGGGACCCGCACAAGCGGUGGAUUAUGUGGAUUAAUUCGAUGCAACGCGAAAAACCUUACCUACCCUUGACAUGCCCGAAAGCUCGUAGAGAUAUGAGUGUGCCCGAAAGGGAAUCGGGACACAGGUGCUGCAUGGCUGUCGUCAGCUCG